rnacentral:rRNA from 2 species
UGGGGGAUAUUGCACAAUGGGCGAAAGCCUGAUGCAGCGACGCCGCGUGGGGGAUGAAGGCUUUCGGGUUGUAAACCUCUUUCGCUAUCGAACAAGGCCCGCUUAGGGUGGGUUGAGGGUAGGUGGAGAAGAAGCGCCGGGUAACUACGUGCCAGCAGCCGCGGUAAUACGUAGGGCGCGAGCGUUGUCCGGAAUUAUUGGGCGUAAAGGGCUUGUAGGCGGCUUGUUGCGCCUGCUGUGAAAACGCGGGGCUUAACUUCGCGCGUGCAGUGGGUACGGGCAGGCUUGAGUGUGGUAGGGGUGACUGGAAUUCCAGGUGUAGCGGUGGAAUGCGCAGAUAUCUGGAGGAACACCGAUGGCGAAGGCAGGUCACUGGGCCAUUACUGACGCUGAGGAGCGAAAGCAUGGGUAGCGAACAGG